AGAAGUUAGAGGCCGUAGACAGGGUGGAGGACUGCCCUAAAAAGCCACUGGACAAAGAGGGAGAGAGGGAGAAAUAGGACUUACUGAUAGGCUUAACCGUAUUACCUCAUGAAACUUGUAUAUGCCUGAAUGGAAAAAGAUGCAGGUGGAGGAGGAGGUAGAGCCCGUAGACAGGGUGGGAAAUUGCACUGAAUAGCCACUGGACAAAGAGGGAGAGAGGGAGAAAUAAGACAUACUGAUAGGCUUAACAGUAUUACCUCAUGCAACUCGUAUAGAUAAGCCUGAAGGGAGAGAGGCGCAGAUGGUGGAGGCCUUUGAGAGUGCAAGCUUGCCCCAACCUAAAAAGCCAUUGGAGACAGAGGGGGCGGGAGGGACGGAGAAAGAAGACAUACUGAUGAGCUAAACAGUAUUGGUUCAACGAGAUAUUUCCUGCCUGUUGAAUGCGCGUGUGAUGUUUUGAAUUAAUGCUUUGAAGAGAUGCUGCGUGUGUGUGUGUGUGUGUGUGUGUGUGUGUGUGUGUGUGUGUGUGUGUGUGUGUGUGUUUACUUCUGCGCAGUGCAUUGUUACUUUUUCCUUGUGUAUGCAGGUGAGAGAGAGAGAGAGAGAGAGAGAGAGAGAGAGAGAGAGAGAGAGAGAGAGAGAGUCAAUAUGUACAUUCUUCUCUAGGUUCCCUCCGUUUUAAAUUACUUGGCUUAUGAGAGCGUCAUUCACAGGUUGAGAGAGAGAGAGAGAGAGAGAGAGAGAGAGAGAGAGAGAGAGAGAGAGAGAGAGAGAGUGUGAACGAACUCGGGGAAACUUCAUUUUGUUGUGUGUGUGUGUGUGUGUGUGUGUGUGUGUGUGUGUGUGUGUUUCUAUUCGUGUUAUGAGACGCACAAAAUACAACGAAGAAAAUAAAAAAAAGGAAAGGCUUGUAAUAAGGAAAAAAAAGGAGGGAGAAACUGGAAGAGGAGGAGGAGGAGGAAGAGGAGAU